CGGGUGCGCGCCAAUCAUGCCGCUCGCUGCGCGACGCCAUGCGCGCCUGCACGGAUCCAGCGCCCAGGCCGGAAGAGGCGAGGGAGAUCAUCCAUGGCGCAUCGGGCCAUCGCCAGUCGCCACGCCACGCCCGGCGGCCACACGAUCGAGUGCGUCGCUUUGCGCAGCCGGGCAGCCUGACCGCGCUGCGCCAUUCAUCAUCAUGCCCCGUCACGCACGCAGCUCGGGUGGUUAGAUCAGGCCUCGCUGGAUCCGGGACGCCUCUCGUACGGCAAGCACUGCUCGGCCCGUCCCGGCCGUGGGAUCGUCUGCGACUUGCAAGUUUGCAACUGCAAGUGUGUGCCUCCGCCUACUAGCCAGCAUCUACCGCGAAUCUGUGCUUUAAGCAAGGCAACAACAACUAACAAGGCGGUGACAGAGCAAGGGGGAACCCCACCCGAGCCGGACGAACCUGACGCGCCAAGCCACCUGACGGUAACAUGUUCAACUUGCGUCGCCGCCAUGUUCUGAACUUCUGGUAGCAAGGCCCAACGUCACCAACAAUGGAAGCACCGUGCUUUCUUUCUCGAGACUACGGGGUUUAAGAGGCACAGCAGGACAUGAGCCACCGACAGGGCGACAGGGGCGAACAGCUUGUUGACAUGCAAGUGGAUGAAAAGCACACCAUGGCAUUGUCCCAGCAGCAUUUUCAUUGCAACCAGCCUCGAGCUAACCUACUGGCUUCCCUACAUUUACAUGAUUAAUAACAGGAAUGAAAGGUAGACAAUCGUCCUUGCAUGACAGAGACAGCCAUCCUACCAAAUUA